rnacentral:rRNA from 1 species
GACGUAGGGCGCGAGCGUUGUCCGGAUUUAUUGGGCGUAAAGAGCUCGUAGGCGGCUCGUUGCGUCGGCUGUGAAAACCCGCAGCUCAACUGUGGGCUUGCAGCUGAUACGGGCGGGCUGGAGUUCGGUAGGGGAGACUGGAAUUCCUGGUGUAGCGGUGAAAUGCGCAGAUAUCGGGAGGAACACCAGUAGCGAAGGCGGCACUCUGGGCCGGUACUGACGCUGAGGAGCGAAAGCGUGGGGAGCGAACAGG